UACGUAGGGUGCAAGCGUUGUCCGGAAUUAUUGGGCGUAAAGAGCUCGUAGGCGGUUUGUCGCGUCUGCUGUGAAAACGCGAGGCUCAACCUCGCGCCUGCAGUGGGUACGGGCAGACUAGAGUGCGGUAGGGGAGAUUGGAAUUCCUGGUGUAGCGGUGGAAUGCGCAGAUAUCAGGAGGAACACCGAUGGCGAAGGCAGAUCUCUGGGCCGUUACUGACGCUGAGGAGCGAAAGCGUGGGGCGCGAAC
rnacentral:rRNA from 1 species